CACAGAUGUGUUUCAGUUUUGCUGUUAAAACAGUGUGGAUGUAAAGAUGUUUGUUAAUGCAGGAAGAGGAGCCACAAUUGUCUUUGCAGGCUCAGAGGAAUACAGGAACACAAACUAUGUUCAGAACUAUUGCUCUGGAAGAACCUCAACAAACAUACCAGAUAAAGCCCUGGUCUGAAUUCUUCAAGCCCAUUUCUUUCCCCUUCCCAUCAGUCCAGUGUAGCAAGAAAGGGACUACCAUAUGUCAGAGAUGAAAGGCAAAAGAUGGCUAGUAGAUGUGAAGUUUCCACAGAGUUGUCCUAAGAAAUCAACCUGGCUCAUUCAAUGGGGUUGCCACACUUAGCCAAGAUAGCAGAGAACCUUUAAGCCGAGAUGAUACAUUUAUCAGGGCCUUUGUUUAUGGUAGGGCCUAUGUGUGAUCAUAAAUGGCUACGUGCCUGUUUAUAUUUACAUGCCAGUGUGUUCACAAAGUGUCUUAGUCUGUUUCAUGAUACUAUAUCAGAAUACCAGAGGCUAGUGAUUUAUAAAGGGAAGAAAUUUAUUUGUUCAGAGUUCCAUGGGCAAAAAGUCCAAGACUGAAAGGCUAUAUCUAGUGAGGACCUUCUUGUUGCACCAUAGCAUCAAGACAGCAAGAGGGGCCAAACCUUACAAAUAGGGAGAUAACUAACCCAUUCCUGAGUAAUCAUAUUAAUCUAUUCAUGAGUCUAGAGCCCUCUUGACCUAAUCAUUUCUUAUUAGGUAUCUAUUCUCAACACUUUUGCAUUAGUAAUAAAGCUUCCAGUACAUGAACUUUGGGGGACACAUUCAAGCUAUAGCACAAGUGUAGGUAUAUCUGUGAGCUGUGUAGGUAUGUGCAUGAAUAGCCACACCUGAAUGGCCUAUGACUGGAUUUGCACGUGUGCUCAUCCAUAUGGAAUUGAGAUGAUUAUAAGUAAGAAUGUCACUAGGUAAGAAUAUUUGCAGGCCUUCUACUGUGCACACCAAAAAUCUGAGAAUUCUAAAUUUCUUCCUCUUCCUAAUCCAUGAUCCACUCAGUUCACGGUGCUAAUAUCCAUGUGGGCUCUCAUCACUUCUCCCCAGACUAGUGUACUUGCUGGGUCCUCAGUGUCACCACCCUGCAGCCCCUCUGAGCAGCAGCCGCAGUGGUGGCGGCAAAAUGAAACUGGGGUUACAGAGAACCUCUCCUGCAAUGAACCGCGCGGCUUUCCACUGUCUGGGGUACCACCCAUCUCAGUGUUACUCUUUGGGAGCUCUUUCAAGGUUGUGGUUUUGCUUAUUGAGAUCUGAGCCCUGCUCAUGUGGGUCUUUGGGUCGUGGACGCGGCACCCUUCAGUCUGGCCUAUUCUACACCCCAAGGAUUUGACUCCAAGGCCAAGUCCUCUGGGAUUUAUGAACUAUCCCCACGUCCCUGCCGCGGAGAUUAUCUCUUGCUUCCGCGGAGAUUAUCUGUUGCUUCCGUAAUAGUCAGGCUGCAAACGGACAAAAGCCUGUCACGUCCCACUCCGUUGUAAGAUGAAGCAAGCCAGGUACAAUGGCUCACGCUUUAGUGCCAAACCGCAGAGCCUUAGCAGACACAUACAUCGAAAUGCGCGUGCGCACAGGAAACAGUUGGAACUACAACUCCCAGAAUACUCUAGAAAAGGACUCCAUUUCCCAGAAAGCUUCGCGAAAACUCCGACCCGGAACUGCGGUGUUUUGGAAAGCGAGAGGUGGAGCGUAUCUGGUGGCGUGGAGCGUUUCUGGCGGUGAGGAACGACCUCCAGGGGUCGUUAGUGAGUUAGAGAAAUGGAGUGUCUGCAAGGUGUCUGAUGCAACCCUUCAGGAUCUUCGCUGUCCUGAGUCGCGGUUCUCUGCCGCGUGGGCGUCGAGGCCUGUCUCAGCCUAGCGUUUCUUCCCGCUGCGGCGUUGUUGGUGUUGGGUGUAUUCGCCCCACUCACCCUCGGGCAUCUUUAUGCGGUAAAGGCCAGUAGCUGCCUUUUUUCCAGCCUUGCUCUGGCUGUUUUCUUGAAAAAGAGACGACCUUGUCCCCACAGUGUAAGCCACUGGAUCCCACCCGUGGAUCCCACAGCUCUUUUGCUACUUCUGGCGCUGACCGCAGCAGACGAGAAUGCAGGUAUUGGAGGACAGGUGUGAACAGUGGCUGGGAGGGUGAACAUCUGUAGAUCUUGGCCUGCUGCCUUUAUUCCCAAGAAGAUAACUUCCUCGUGGUCCCUGCUGAUCCAGUUCAUAUCGUGGAAUUUGGGAGGGCCGAAGACUCCUUCCUCAGACCUACUCCCAGUCACAUCCCUUAGACUCCAGCCUAUCUAAGCCUCAGGAUCUAUUGCCAGCUUUCCCCAAAGGCACCCAGAGAACCUGGCCAAAAUAAAAAUAAAAACAGUUGGUGGCAGCGUGAAGCUUUUGGAGAAAAAGAAAAGUGGAAAGUACAAAGGAGAAGCUUCAGGACACGUGAGGGCCUGAAAGUUACUGGGCCCAAAGGAAGAGUUGAGGUACAGGGGUAAGGAGUGAGAGGGAAAGAGACCUGUUUUCACUCACUAUCUGCAAAGGAAGGGCUGUGUAUGUGUCACAAAGCAAGAAGAUAAAGAUCACAUUUUUCAGAACUGUAUUUGUUUAUGCAAUCCAUAGCAAUUUAGUUUCGUUGUAAACAUUUUAAAUAAAUUGCACACUCCCCUAACAUUCCGUAGGGUGUUAAAACCACUGGUAAUGUAUUCUUUGAGAUUUCACAAAGGUACCUGGCACUUUCCCUGUGUUGCUCUAUUCCUGGGUCCCUAGGUGGACUUCUGCAGUGCCUGAGACCCUCUUUGUGUAUCUACAAGGUCAAAACUAUUUUCACUAUAAUACUAAUUUUUUUUUUUUUUUGCAUUUUAUACUAUAUUGACGUUUGCAUUUAAAAUUGUAGGCAUAACUGAAACUGUUGGUACAAAUGAAUCUGGGCAGUGGCAGUAAACUAUGCUUGCAGUUACUGUAUUUUUUCACUGGUGUAUGGCAGUAGAGAAGGGGUAGAGUAGGGGUAGAGAAGCCAAUUUCACUUAAUAUUCUUAAUGAAGCUCUAAGGAGUAUUCAUUUUUCUGUAUUUUUGAGCCUUGAGUACAUGGUGUUUUUUGUUUGUUUGUUUGUUUUUUGUCUUUUUCCUUUUUAUCGGUACCGGGGAUCGAACUCACGACUCCCUGCUUGCAAGGCAGGAGCAUAUGCCGCUGAGCUAAAUCCCCAGCCCCAGAGUACACGGUGUUUAAUAUUGUGUGUGACAAAAUGGGAAGUAUUCCCAAAGCAAAUGCUCCACAUAGCAUUCUGUGUCUUGAGGAAAAGCAAUUACGUGGUUGUUCAGAGUGGCUAGCUGAACUAGACGGUUUUCUAGAAAACACUUCUUUUGCUUGAACAGCAAACAGUGUAUUUCCUUGGAUGCGGGUAUUGGUGGAAAAUAAAAUAAGUUCAUCACUUAAAGGGAAACAACUGAACGUCUUUAAUGCCAAUAAGAACAUUUGUGUUUUUGAGAAAAAGCUAAAAUUUAAAAAGAUGUAUCUUCCACCCUGUGCUCGGCAGAUUUCCAAUACUUAAACUUUUUUCUAAUGAGUUUUGUAGGCUGUGAUUUUUAAAAUAUUAAUAAUAAAAUGUGCCAAGAUUUAGAAGAUCUGCAUAGUUCAGUAUAUUAAAUAUCCUUUGUUGCAUAAGAAAUUAGCCCCAGACAUAGUGAUUUAAAACAACAAACAUUUAUGAUCUGACAGUGUCUGUGCUUCAAGAAUUUGAGAGUAUUUAUGUAAGUGGUGCUGAGUAAGUUUCUCAGGCAGAUACAGUCAAGAUGUUUACUAGAUUGCGGUUCUGUGACAGCUUCACCGGCACUAGAAAAUCUGCCCCCAAGAUGGCUGACUUACAGGGCUGUUGGCAGGAGGCCUCUGUUAUGGUUUGUGCCCAGAUGUCCCUCCAAAGCCUCAUACACUUUUUAGAUGGAGUUUUUUUGGAGCCAACUGAACCUAGUUUGUGACUGAUUUGUGGUGCAAUGCCAGGAUUAAGGGUGAGUGAUUUUGGAUCAGUCCACUGAUUGGAUUGGCACCACUCUAAUCUGAGUAGACUGGAUAAGAUAAAAGGAGCAAAAAGAAACUUGUUUCCUCCUUCGUGCUCUCACUUGGUUUUUGUUGUCUUCCACUGCCAUGAACUGAGGCCCUUCUGCCUUGGACCCAGGUGAUUAUUUACUGAAACCUCUACAAAUUGAAGGUAAAUAAACCUUUCCCCUUUUAACUUUGGAUGUUGGAUAUUUUGGGUGUUAGAUAUUUCAUCUCCACAAUGAGAGAAUAGUAACUAAGACAGCCUCCUUUGCUUGUUGCCUUUUAACAGAAGGCUUCCAUUUCUUGCCAUAUGGACCUUUCUACAGGGCUUUAAGUGUCUUCAUAGUAUGAAGGCUAGUUUCCUUCAAAGUAUGUGAUCUAAGAAAGGAGCAAGAUAGACUCCUCAGUGUCUGUUAUGAUCAACCCCCAGGUGUCUGUCAUUCCUCACAUUUCUGUUUUUUAGAAACAAGUUACUCUGUACAGCCCACAGUCAAGGAGAGGGGAAUUAGGCGAAGCAGGCAGUUAUGCUGCUAAACUUAAUCUCCAGCCCUAAACUCUACUUCUUCUUUUUUUUUUUUUUUUUUUUUUUUUUGUCUUUUUUUCUUUUUUAUCGGUACCAGGGAUCGAACUCACGACCGCACACUUGCAAGGCAGGUGCUUAUGCCUCUGAGCUAAAUCUCCAGCCCCUAAGCUCCACUUCCUAAAGGAAGAAAUAUCAAAGACUAUCUGGACAUCUUUUAAAAACAUGACACUUACCCAUUCAUUUGCAAAUUUAAAAAAAGAUACAUACAUAAAAACUAUUUCAAUUGCAAGAUAGUUCAGUAGAUUUCUUAAUGUAGUAGAAUACAAAAAUGUCACUGGUGUAGUUCUUGAUUCUACAUUGCUACUGAUCUUUAAGAAGCAACCAUUUGUUGAAUUUCAAUGUAAUAUCAAAGAAAAAUACCCACAAUUACAUGAAAAGUUUGUUAAAAUACUGCUGUUGAAAACAAUACGUUUGUGAGACCAGUGUUCUCCAUAUACCUUUAAAUAUAUCAAACCAGAUUGGAAUGAAGAACAUAACAAUCCAGUUAUAUCGAAUUAUGCCAAACAGUUAAAAGAAAUUUGCAAGAAAACAAAAAACAGCAACAACGAAAACCUUGUCCAUCGGCACACUGGGCUUGAGUAUGCAUUAUUUGGCUUUAACAAAUCAUGUGUGCAUGUUAUGGUUCUCUGAAUCUGUCUCUGCUGCAUACUAUAUUUGGGACAUUUAACAUGUAACCUCAGAGGCUCCAGCUCUAGUCACACACACAUAAUUUCACUGCAUCAGAAUGUUCCUAGCUCAAAUUAGACAAAGCCACAUGUGCACGCAUGCACACACACAUGCACAUACACACAUGCAACUCUGCAUCUGAUUUAGUCCCUCUCUUCCUCUCCCCUAGGGUCAGGCAGGAUGUCAGCAUCUGCCAUGCAUCACUUCACCUGCCAGAUUCUUUCACCUAAAGCCUCAUAAGUACUGAUGUCUAGUGACAUCCUGCAAGCAGCUACACUCCGAAUUCCCUUUAGACCCUUUUGUAGGAACAUGGCUUAGUGCCUCCUAAAUGACACUGCACAACCAGUGCUGAUGCAACCCGACUGCACCAUGGUUGACUGAGGAGACUGUCCGCAGUGUGAAGAGCCUGGGGCAAUGAAAACAGUGUUAGCUGGUUUUUCUUUCACUUUCUGAUCGUGUAAUUUUCUGAAUAUUAAUAAAGUAGUAAUGUUAAGGAAUUAAGGAAUCCAAUUAACAAGCUUAAGUAUAUAUAUGAACAAAAUCUGGGCUUGACAAACAAGGAAGAAGGGGAAUGACUAUUGAGCAGGCAAUCUACAACUGUCUGCAAAUUUUCCACAAUAAAACAUUGCAGAGCAGGGUGUGCAGAUCACACCUGUGAUCCCAAAAUCGUGGCAGGCAGAAGGGCAGGAGAUUGUAAUUUCAAACUCAGCCUAGGCAAUUUGGCUACUUAGCCAGAUCUUAUCUCAAAAAACAAAGAAAAAAGGCUGGGGGAUACACUGCAGUGUGAAGGCCCUGCGAUCAUUUCCUAAUUACACACAGCAAACAAAACAAAAACCAUUAUCUGUAUGAUUAAAAAGGAAAAUAUAAAUAUGAGGUAAAGCUGAAAUAAAACUAGACAAUGUAGUCAAACCAUGAGAUAUUUCACACAGAUACAGUGGUAAAAGAAGCAGGCCCAUUUCUUACUAAUUAGUCGAUCUACCAUUUUUGUUUCUCAUAUACAAAAUUUACAACCUUUCGUACUGAAUGGAAUUGUCUUCAUGGUUUUUUAAGAUUUCUGCAAAAUUUUAGUUGCUCAAUAUACCCUAUGUCUACAUGACAACAUUUUAACGAAUAGUCUGUUGGGAGAAAAUAGUCGUAAGAUUUUUACAAGAAAAAAGGCUAAUCAAUAUCUAAAUCAAAACCUAGACAAAGGAUAUAAACGGAAGUCACAAAAUCAGGAAUAUAAUUGACCAUAAGAAUAUGAAAAGAUUUUCAAUAUUAGCAAUAGCCAAUAAGAUAUUUAUUUUCACAAAGCAUAUUAUCAGAUAAUGAAAGUAAUAAGGCUGGUUAAGGUGUAUCUGAGAUCAUCCCGUCCAUGAAUUCAGAGUUGGUAUAGAGAUAAAUUAGCAUAGUGUUUGUGGUUGGAAAUACGGCCGUAUUUAUCAACAUUAAGAAGUGUGUAUCCCCUGUGAGAUGGUCGGGGAGCUGGGGAAGAGGGAUAAGGUACUGGGAAACCGGAGAUCCUGAAGAAGUGGUGUGUAAAGAGAGGAUACGUGAAGCCCAGAGACUUGGAAGGACUGGGAUUGGUUGAGGGUGAGGAGAGAAGCAAAGAAUCACUUGGAGGAAUUGGGAGAAAUAAAAACAAAUGAAAUGGAUUACAAACAACUGAAAAAGGUUGAUGCGAGGGAGGGGAAGGCAAGGGAUGGGACUGGCAGAGAUUACAAAUAUAAAAGGGAAUUGACCUAAGGCCCCCGGCAAACAAGACCUAUUAAAAUUGAGCAAGGACGGUAGAAAAGAAUGAGGUUUGUUAGCUAACAGGAAACAGUCAUUUUCAAAGUACCAGGCCUUGCAGAGAGGGUUCUUGGACUUCCUCAUGUCUUAGCCUGUUAUUACAUAGUAAUUUGCUUCUGAAAAGCAGCCUGAGACCUUUAAGGACUCGUUAGUCUGAAAUCUCAUUUCCUAGUGAUUGGUACUUUUCCUGUGUGAUCCUAAGGUCCAAAUCAGUAGUUACACUGUCUUUAGUAGGAACUUCUUUCCCUCUGGAAACUUAGGGAGUCUUCCCAAAUUCUAGAAAAGCAUGAAAGGAGGCCAUCUCUGCAGUAGAGUGCAGGCAUACACAAUGGGGGCCAUGUUCGAAGCCUCUUCCACUUUGCUCUUGACUUCAAGUGGACCUUCUUCAUUUAGGAAACAGAUACCAUAUGGUCACUGGCUUUCUCUGUGGUUCAUAGUUUCCCACACAGUGAAGCACAGAGCAACCAGACUGCAAGAAUCUGCGGGGGCUGAGUUGUAUCUCUCCAAGAUUCAUAUGUUGAAGUCCAACUCAAUAUUUCAGAACAUUACUGCAUUUGGAAAGUUGGGCCUUCAAAACAAUGAUUAAUUUAAAAUGGGGGCAUCCUUAUAGAUGCUAAAUAUCACUGGCUCCUUAUUAGAAGGGGAAAUUUGGCACAUGAGAGAUCCGCUAAGGCUGAGGAUGCACGGGGAAAAAAGACCAUAUGAAGGAGCAAGAAGGUAGCCAUCCUUAAGCCCCCCAAAAAAGCCUCAGAAGAAACCAACACCUUCAUCUUGGACUUCUAGGCUCCAGAAAUGUGAGAAAAUAAAUUUUUGUUGUGAAAGUCACCCAGCGUACGGUUUUCUUAGGACAGUUCCAGCAAACUCAUGCAGGGGCUGCAGGUUGAAGGCUUAGUGCCCGAGGAAAAUACAAAUUUAAACCCUCCAGUUAACUGUCAAUGGGAACUACUUUGAAGGGCCUCCUUUCAAAACAGAAAAGUGUUCCCCUGUACUCUCAUGCCGGUUUUUACUUUGUUCAAAUAAGACCAUGGUCUUACACUACCCUGAAAGUUCUGUAUUAAACUAGUUGCCAACGGUAAUUUUGGAAAAAUUGAAGUAUAUGACUAUGACUCAGAUUGGGUCUCCCAGUUUUCUGUUUUUGUUUUUUGUUUUUUGUUUUGCACUGAAGAUUGAACCAUUGGCCUUUGUGUUGAUCUAUAUCCCCAGGCCUUUUUUAUUCUUUGAGACAGAAUUUUCCUAAAAAUAUUUAGUUUCCCAGGUUGGGCUCGAAUUUGCAAUCUUCCUGCUUCACCCUCCCAGAGAACUGGGAUUACAGGUAUGUGCUACCAUGCCCAGCACCGUGUCUUCUAAUUCAGCUGGAGGAUUUAGUCCUUGGCUUUGUGGAUUCAAAACUCUUCCAGGUCAAGCCCCAGGAAAUGAUUCCCAUACUAAUUCAAAUUUAACUGGAUUUCACUGGCUAACAAUGAGAGUUGUAUUUUCCCAGAAGGCCAAUAUAUUCAUGGUAGACUACCCCUAGCAUAUUUUUCUAUUAAGAAAUAAGUAGAGACAAACUCCACUUUGGAAGGACUCUUACUCUGUAGAAUUCAGCGAGGAGACACUUUCUGAGAUGUGCUUUUUCUUACUUUCCUGAGAAGCACUGGAUUUAUCUUGCUCUGAUGGCCCUCAUGUCAGAGAUACUGAAUUUGACUUUUUCAAUUAGUUGUUUAUAAGCCUGCAUUUCUCAUUAGACCAUGGAUUCCAAGAGGAAAGAGAUUAUAUUUUACCUGUUAAUGUAUCUUCAGUAGUAUCUAGACCACCAUAUGUACUCAAAAUAAACAAAAAACAGAAAAAUAAAUGAAUGAAAUUAUGAUACCAUGUGUAUUUUCCAUGAGACAAUUGUUCCAAAUGGACCAGAACAGUCAUCUGCCGGUCUGUGUGUAAUGUCUUUCUACUCAGCUCUUUUAGAUUCUUCAAAGAAAAUCACCCUUCAUUGAAUGGUUAUUCAUCCUAAACCCUGCUCUUUUGUCUUAACGAAUGGCCCUUUUCCUGAAUUCAUUUACAAAGAGACCCCUUACUCUCACCACUAAAUUAUCCCCAAAUAAUUAAUCAAUAUGAAUCAUCUUUGCAGAGUCUACUUGAAGCAACAUGUUUCCUACAGAUUAUGAUGUCUGUCAGCCGGCCCUCCUGACCUGGGCCUCAGAUGUUUAACCACUCUCAUGUUUGGGUUUGUUCACCUCUGUCAAUGAACUGUAUGCUCCAGGCACUCUAAAUGGACUACCACAGCCUUAUAAAUGCCAUCCAUUUCUCUGUGCUCACUUAGGGAUUUUGAAUGGGGUCACAGAGAUUGAACAAUGGGCUCAAGGAAAUCCAGCAGCGUGAACUCAGUUUUUAUAGGUCAAAAACCAACAAGGAAAUAAAGAACUCAAAAAGUUGUUUGCUAGGCAAGUGCACAUAGCCAAGGGCCUCAUACUGUUUGUUUGGGCCAGGACUGAAGAUCUUAGAUGAACCUGAGCCUAAAAUGUGGAUGCUUACAGUGUCUUAUAGACUAGAUAGAGGGUAAAUAAAGUAAGCUCCUUUGGAAGAUUCACUGGGCCCCAGUAUUCCAAAGAAACAAAAAUCCAAAUCCAUCGGACCCAAAUUUAAACAUUGCUCUUGUUUUUUGUUUUUUUUUUUUUAGAAUCCUUAUCAUCAUUCCAGUUGAUUGUUUGACAUGCUAAGCUCCAUGAAGGCAGCUCACUGCUGCAUUUUCAAUGCUAUCAUGAAGAACAGUGGUACCCAACAAGCUUUUGAUGAACAGACCAGGAAAUAAAUAAAUAAAUAUAUAUAUAUAUAUAUAUAUGACUAGAUGUAUGCAUGGAUAGAUGGAGACACAAACAAAUCCAUAACAGUAUUAUAGCACACAUUCCUAGUUCCCACAGUGGUUUGCCCUUCUUUUUGUGAUAGAUCUCUUUGUCCAGCCACCUGCUCCUCGAUGGCCCUGAAAGCCAUUAGUCAUAGCCUCAAAUGGCCUGCUUGGCUUUGGAAGUUAGCUUCUCAUUAACUAAACCGUUGCACCACUCACUCCUGUAGCCUUAAAUUAAUAUGGGUUAAUUCUUAACUGUUUCCCUUCUGUAGAUGUCAUUUAAUGGUUUGCCUUUAUCUGAUUUUCCCCAAUUUCCUGUGCAUUUGUGGUUUUCUACAGGAGCUCUCAAGCUGGGGCCUCAGGCAGCCACACCAGUUGAGUGUGGGCACUUGAGUUUUCUAGGAAGUUUCUCCUGCUGCCCUGAGUCUUAUCCAACUUGUUUCUGUCCAGACACUUCCAUCCAAGGUUAUUUAUGCUAGAAGAAGAAUUCCCGUCCCAAAGCCAGUUUUUGGAGAAAAGAAGAUAUAGCCAGAGCCCCAAAAGAAGAUUACUCUGCAACUGCUAAAGGUUCUUGCUAUGUAGCUCUGGUCUAUGACUGGUCUCAAAUUUGUGAUGGUCCUCCUGUCUCAACCUCCAGGUGACUGAGCUACAGGACUUCUCCCAGGAAUGGGGCAAGCCAGGAGAUGGGAGGUAUGGAGAAAGACUAAGCAAAGGAGAUCAAAUAGGUGGUUCUCACCCACCAAAUCGCUGUGGCAACUGAAAGUGCCUCCAUGGAUAUCCCCAAGGACUCCUGGGGAACAGGAUUGCCCCCCACCACUACCCAGAACCUCUGCUCAGAGACUCCUAAAAGAGGUGUAGGGCCAGUUUCUGGCUUAGGGAGGCAAAAUAAUGUCCUGGAAGCCCUCCCCAUUGGGCUCAUGCUCUGAACAGUGUGGUGAUUUCCUAGUAGUAAAACCAACCACUUCUCUCUAAAACCAUUGUCAACCUUUGGCCAUGCUGUGCCCAAAGUGAGGCUCAGAGAUUAUCCAAACUGGUUUCACACAGGAAUUACAGGGGCCCUUUAAAAAAUACAGAAAUCCAAUUCUUACCCCAGUGAGUCUCUUUACCUGGCCUGGGCAUCUAGCUACUUAAUGUGCUCUGUAAUUAGCCCACGCUCAGGACAGUGAACUUUGCUCACUGAAAUUAAAGUUAACCUUGGCCAGGAAGCUUCCUCAUUAGCACCUUCCACUUUAAUUUAUUCUCUUACUGCUUAGUUCCCUUUUCCCCAAUUUAUUAUUAUUUAUUUGUUAUUAUUAUUUAGAACAAAUUGUACAGCUCCUUCUCAUUCAUCCAAGUUAUUAUUCCAUUGCAGAAAAAGGUUAGGGCAAAAAAAGGCAACGCAACUACAGCUUCGUGUGGUUUUUUGUUUGUUUGUUUGUUUUGUUUCUUUCCUUUGGGCUUAAAGUCUUCCUGAGCAAGAAGAGAGGUACAGUGAGACACUCGGGAAGCUAGGAAAUGAGUCAGGGCCCAGUUGGGCUUAGUUGGCCGCUCCACAGCCCAGCAGAAGGUGCCCACUGCCCUCAGACUGGCCACGGGGCUUCCUUUUGUGGCUUACUGCUCACAUCUGAAGGGGCCAGCCUUCAGCCUUCCCCCACGUGCCCUUAGACUUCAGAGUCUCUGAAAGACGGCGCUGUCUACUCCACAUGUUUUAUUUUGCUGUCAGCCAGGCGGAAAUUAGUGAGGAGCAACAGCCAGCUUGGCACUUCCACCAUUAGCUUUGAUAAAAGAAGAACUAGAAAAGAGUUCUUCAUUACUUGUGAAGCCUAGGUUUCAAAACAUUACUUUUUUAUAUGCUCGUGAAAAUAUCUAAGAAGCAUUAAACAUAGAUGUUGGUUUUAAAAGCCAUGAAGUGUAUGAUGAAUUGUGUAUGAGUGUGGCAUAGAAUUUAUGCAGGUAUGGGAAUGGGAGCUGGGCAUCUUGGACUGCGCAUUUCUUAUCUUAGGUUGGAGAUAAACUGAAAAGAGAGAAAUAGUUAUCAUGUCCAAAUGUAGUUGGUUGACAUAUUUCCUGUUUUAAAAACAGAGAAUAUCAUUAAAUUGCUAGCUAUAUUAGCAAUAGUUUAUGGCUCAUUUUAUCUGAGUACAUUCAAAGCUUCAGAAGUGUGCACACACAUAUAAGCAUUUAUGUUUUGCACAAUUCCUUAGAAUAUAUUUAACCAAGGCAAUGUACAUGAUAAUGCAUCUGUUGUACCUGUCAUGGUUCUGUUUGCUUUCAGGUGCAUUCUUUACCAACUUGCUCUGUAUCACAUGGAUCUGACCUCUGCAAACAGGUUUUCCAAGCUUGUGGGUCAAGUAGUUGCCAUCUGGGCUCAGCCAAUGAGAAGAACUGGCAGACAGGAGAGAGGGACAGGCCAGGUGUCUACUGUAAGCCUCUAUUCCUCAGGUGGUACCUCAAAGAGUAGUGGCCUGGCUCAAGCUGCUGCCAGAAAGACUGCCUUGCUUGCAGCUCCCAUUGCUUUCUGUUUCUUCAGCCCAAGACUGGGAAGGACUUCCUGUUGUCACUAAGCUUCUGUGAGUCUCUGUCACCUGUAUAGCCAAUUCCUUGUUAUCUAUGUUUGUAGUGGUUUCUAUAGUUCUGAUUAGACUCUGCCUGAUACUCAGGUUAUGAUUAAACGUCCUUUAACAUGAGUUAGUGUUAUGGCUUGUGACUAGAUGUCCCACCAAAAUCUCAUGUGGUCACAGGUGGGGACCUUUCAGAGGUGGUUGGAUCUAGAGUGUGUAAUACUGGAAUUGAUGUGGUGCAAUGUUGGGCUCAAGAGCACUAGGUCUAAGGGUAUGAGUAUUACUUACACUCCAGAUACGACAUGAGAGGAACAGAAAAACACUGUUAAAGUCUUCCUUGUUGCUUUGCUACCUUUUCUCCUGCAAGAACUGCUUCUCCUCUGCCAUGCCACCCUGCGUUUGAGCCAUUCGACUAUAGACUGAAAUCUCUACAAACUGUGAGCUAAAUAAACCUUUUCCCC